UAAAAAGGAGGAAGAUGUAGAAGCCAAAAUAUCCAAAAACAAGAUGAAGUCUUCUCUUAUACUAAUUACAGUUAUGUUGUCUACCAUUCUCUUCUUCUCAUCGUCAUUAGUCCUUGCUCGAGAAUUAAAAGAAGGUGCUCCUAUUUACAAGCGAGUGAUCGGAGCAGCACCGCCUGGCCAAAUUCCAUUUUCUUGUGGCCGCGGAAAACGCUAUUCCCCAUGCGUACCAAAAGCCCCAAAAGCCCCGCCCUGUACUAUCUAUGUCCGCGGCGGCCACUGCGUACCUCAUGGCCAUUGAAUGAUUAGAUCAAUCAGAUCAGAUCAGAUCAGAUCGAUCUACUUAAAUCAUCUCUUCACCUGAAGGCCAUGGAAUUAAUAAUAAUUCUCUAAGUGCUGCCAAAGCUAGCUCAUCAUCAUCAGCUGUGUUAGUGUUAUGUGUUUUAUAUAAAUAUAUCCUCAUCGUGUAAAACCAAUAAAAGGGAGAUAUGAACAAUAUAUUAUAUAGUACGUACUAAUACUAUUUUAUGUAAUAAGAAAGCCUGCAGACUGGUUUUGCAAGAUCGAGUAGUGUACCCACUCUUGCAAAUGCAAUAUAUCUUAAUGAAUAUAAAUAGUAUUUUUGCCUCUUAAA